rnacentral:rRNA from 1 species
AGAGUUUGAUCAUGGCUCAGGAUAAACGCUGGCGGCGUGCAUAAAACAUGCAAGUCGAACGGACGGUCGCAAGACCGUCAGUGGCGAACGGCUGAGUAACACGUAAGUGACCUGCCCUUUAGUGGGGAAUAACUGCUCGAAAGAGUGGCUAAUACCGCAUGUGCUCAUCUUUUCGUUGGGGUGAGUAAAGCCGUAAGGCGCUAGAGGAUGGGCUUGCGGCCGAUUAGCUAGUUGGCGGGGUAAGGGCCCACCAAGGCGAUGAUCGGUAGCUGGUCUGAGAGGAUGAUCAGCCAGACUGGGACUGCGACACGGCCCAGACUCCUACGGGAGGCAGCAGUUAGGAAUUUUGCGCAAUGGACGAAAGUCUGACGCAGCAACGCCGCGUGGAGGACGAAGGCCCUCGGGUCGUAAACUCCUUUUGCACGGGAAGAUGGUGACGGUACCGUGCGAAUAAGCCCCGGCUAACUACGUGCCAGCCGCCGCGGUAAUUC